rnacentral:rRNA from 1 species
AAGGAAUAUUGGUCAAUGGGCGCAAGCCUGAACCAGCCAUGCCGCGUGCAGGAAGACGGCCCUAUGGGUUGUAAACUGCUUUUAUCAGGGAAUAAACCCCCGCUCGUGAGCGGGGCUGAAGGUACCUGAAGAAUAAGCAUCGGCUAACUCCGUGCCAGCAGCCGCGGUAAUACGGAGGAUGCAAGCGUUAUCCGGAUUCAUUGGGUUUAAAGGGUGCGCAGGCGGAUUGGUAAGUCAGGGGUGAAAUCCCACAGCUCAACUGUGGAACUGCCUUUGAUACUGUCAGUCUAGAGUAUAGUUGAAGUGGGCGGAAUGUGUCAUGUAGCGGUGAAAUGCUUAGAUAUGACACAAAACACCGAUCGCGAAGGCAGCUCGCUAAGCUAUAACUGACGCUCAUGCACGAAAGCGUGGGGAUCAAACAG